GAUGAACGCUGGCGGCGUGCCUAAUACAUGCAAGUCGAGCGAACAGACGAGGAGCUUGCUCCUCUGACGUUAGCGGCGGACGGGUGAGUAACACGUGGAUAACCUACCUAUAAGACUGGGAUAAAUUCGGGAAACCGGAGCUAAUACCGGAUAAUAUAUUGAACCGCAUGGUUCAAUAGUGAAAGACGGUUUUGCUGUCACUUAUAGAUGGAUCCGCGCCGCAUUAGCUAGUUGGUAAGGUAACGGCUUACCAAGGCAACGAUGCGUAGCCGACCUGAGAGGGUGAUCGGCCACACUGGAACUGAGACACGGUCCAGACUCCUACGGGAGGCAGCAGUAGGGAAUCUUCCGCAAUGGGCGAAAGCUUGACGGAGCAACGCCGCGUGAGUGAUGAAGGUCUUCUGAUCGUAAAACUCUGUUAUUAGGGAAGAACAAAUGUGUAAGUAACUAUGCACGUCUUGACGGUACCUAAUCAGAAAGCCACGGCUAACUACGUG
rnacentral:rRNA from 1 species